rnacentral:rRNA from 1 species
CAUCGAUGAAGAACGUAGCGAAAUGCGAUACUUGGUGUGAAUUGCAGAAUCCCGUGAACCAUCGAGUCUUUGAACGCAAGUUGCGCCCGAAGCCAUUAGGCCGAGGGCACGCCUGCCUGGGUGUCACACA